rnacentral:rRNA from 1 species
UCAAUAAGCGGAGGAAAAGAAACCAACAGGGAUUGCCUUAGUAGCGGCGAGUGAAGCGGCAAUAGCUCAAAUUUGAAAUCUGGCGCCUUCGGUGUCCGAGUUGUAAUUUGAAGAAGGUAUCUUUGGUUUUGGCUCUUGUCUAUGUUUCUUGGAACAGGACGUCAUAGAGGGUGAGAAUCCCGUCUGAUGAGAUGCCCAAUUCCAUGUAAAGUUCCUUCGACGAGUCGAGUUGUUUGGGAAUGCAGCUCUAAGUGGGUGGUAAAUUCCAUCUAAAGCUAAAUAUUGGCGAGAGACCGAUAGCGAACAAGUACUGUGAAGGAAAGAUGAAAAGAACUUUGAAAAGAGAGUGAAAAAGUACGUGAAAUUGUUGAAAGGGAAGGGUUUAAGGUCAGACUUGGUUUACCAGGCCAGCAUCGGUUUAGAUGGCAGGAUAAUGGCGUAGGAAUGUGGCUUUGCUUCGGUAAAGUGUUAUAGCCUGCGUUGAUACUGCCUAUUUAGACCGAGGACUGCGUCUUUGACAAGGAUGCUGGCUUAAUGGCCUUAAGCCACCCGUCUUGAAACUACGGA